GUCAUUUGGACUGUCAAUCGUGAGAGAGUAUUAUAUGAUCAACCAAGAAUGUUGAAUUCUUCAGGAACCUUAUUUAUGAAGUUUCAACUUUCAACAUCUUCACACACACAUUUAUCGUAGAAAUCUACUUUUUAAAAAAAAAAAACCCUGAAACUUAACCAACUAAAACCCAAAUAGUACAUGGGCUUAACUAUAGCCCAAUAACCUUUUUAAUAAGCCACACGGCCCAACUUCUCUUUGCUUUGUUGCCUUUGCUUGUCUUCUUCGACUCUUCUUCUCCGACAAAGGAGGCGCGACGCCGUCUUUUCUUCUUCUUACCAGACUUGGGUCAGGGAUAGUUUAAUCAGCCAAUACUGCAGAAAUCAUCUCGCCUUGGAUGCUAUUGAUUUCAGAAUCAACUGCAUUUGUAUGAAUCAGAAAGGACUUUAUUGAUCUUAUGAGGAGCUUAAGUAAUUGGGCAGUGGUGAAUGAUGAUAACCCAAAAAAGAAAGAUUGGAUGAUAAAGACAUGAAGAAAGUUUUAUAGUUUGUGUCUUGUGUAGAAUGGCUGCUCAAGUGGUCUAUAUAGUUUGGAAAGAAACAGAUAGGGAUUAUCAGGUAUUUUUGGAUGGUCUUGGCCUUGGGAG
rnacentral:sRNA from 1 species